GCCGCCGUGGCGCGUCUUGAGUGGCUGUAGAGUAAUCACUGCGUUCUCAGUCUCUCUGUGUGUAAUUUGUUCUCGAGCUAAUCAAAGAGGACAUGACUUACUGCUGAGGCUGGACGACAAGCUGUACGGUGCGGAAAGGAGGACUGUGGCGGAAACUAGACAGCUCAAGGUUCGAAUCCAGCAGCUCCUGGAAUCUUAUCCGCGAGAGCGACGUAGCGAGUAAUGCGCCAUCUAUAUACAAAAUGGCGACACGGAUGCUGAAAGGCGUGGAGGGCGUCGCCGAGGUGAUAGGAAAAAGUGAUGACAGAGGCGAGUCGUGUGGAGGAGUAGGACCCGCGGCAUUGAGGAUGCGGGGGACUCGGGGACACAAAGGAGGUGUGAUUAUCUAAAGGAUUAGGCAAGUAAGUGGCGCGCUGGGGAGGCGGGUCACGGCGAUACCCCAGGCUGUCAAAGGCGGUGAUCAGCUCCUUCGUGGUGGUGGUGGUGGUGGUGUGGAGAAACACUUAACAUCUGCCUGCCUGCCUGCCCGCCCGCCCGCCCGCCCGCCCGCCCGCCCGCCACCUCCUCGCACCAAGACAAAGGCAAGACAAACCUGUACUCCUUCAUACCUUGUGACGAGCCAGGAACUCCUUAUUCCCUAAAUGGACCGAGCUGUGUGUUACUCCUUAUAGUUUCCUUACCACUCCCCGUCCUGAUGUCUCUUAUUUCUAUAUGUACGGCUCUCAUUGUCACGAAAUAUAAUGAAAGAUAAUGAACGUAGGUAACUGAUACUCGAGGUCCUCUCCCGCUUCCCUCCCUCUCUAGUGGACAUACACAAACACUUCUAUACCAGGAGGAGGAGGUGAACUGCAAGAUGGACUUUCUCUCUUUCCUUCUUAACUCUCUCGUCCUUCCCUAACACCUCUCUCUGUAAGGUUUCGCAGAUGUGGUUAAAAAUGUCAUUAGCAGUCAAAGGGUUAACGUGGUCCAGUUAUCUUGUCUCUUCCUGCUUUACUGCAUUCGGGAUGCUUCUUUUAUAACCCAACAUGUAAUUAGGACAGUCUCUCUCUCUCUCUCUCUCUCUCUCUCUCUCUCUCUCUCUCUCUCUCUCUCUCUCUCUCUCUCUCUCUCUCUCUCUCUCUCUCUCUCUCUCUCUCUCUCUCUCUCUCUCUCUCUCUCUCUCUCUCCACAACAAGGCGGUGCUCCUUCGACAGGCAGCGCUCCCCCUUAGUACCUCUUCGGCCUCUCCAGUGCUUCAUCGCGUCAUUAUCUACUCUAAAAUCUCAGCUGGGGAAUUUUCAGUACUCUCUCUCUCUCCAGUUCCCUUGACACGCGUUGAUCAGAAUUACCUGUGUGAAGGGUCUUUAUUACUAAGAGUGCUGUGUUUACCUGCCUGUCUUGCCCUUUUCAUAACACUGGGGCCUCCUUUAGAAAUAUUCAUUACGGUCAUGCGUGAAAUGAACGCUAAUCUCAGGUGAAAGAAGAAAAAUGCUGAUGUAAGAGGUUCGCCUGUCAAAAUUAAUCGGUAUAAAUAAAUAAAUAAAUAAAGUAUAUAAAUAGAUUAAAAAAAUAAAGUAAGGUGGAACUGAGUUGGCAUAAGGACUAAAUCUCAGGUUGCUUUUUCUUUGUAUGAGCGUUACUUACUGAGCUGCGACUAGCAUGUGGAAAGUAAGAUUGCUGCGGCUUCCCUUAUCAACGUGUGUGCUUUCGGGCGUGCAUGUGAGGUUAAACAAAAUAGGUUCUGUGUUCUUUUCUUUAUUAUGGGAGUAGUAAAGUAGAGGAAAAAAACAAGUGACACGCGGCAAUGCUUUAGGCGAACCGCAGCCGCUCAUACGUCAACACACACACACACACACACACACACACACACACACACACACACACACACACACACACACACACACACACACACACACACACACACACACACACACACACACA